UGUAAUUUCUAAAGAAAAAUUACGCUGGAGGUUUUUUCUCUAUCGUGGUGAUCGGAAGGCCUAAUCUCCACUAGCCGCGGUUAUUCUUUGCCAGUCCCCAAUCUCCCCACGCUCUCCUCUCCUCCAGCUCCUCAGAUCCGGCGACCUCCGGCUCCUCGCCGCCGCCACGGAAAUUCGGCGCCUCCGCGCCCUUUAUCGACCCAUGGAGACCCGGGUUCACUUCCUUCGACGGCUGUCCCGAAUUUCAGGCGUCGCGCGUGGCCGGAGCUGAGGACGCGUUCCUCUCCGUCUCCCAUGGCCCUCUCGCGCGCGCGGCGUGCCUAUGUGAAGCCCGUCGUUGCCGUUCCCCUGGCAAGCCCGUUGUCCCCGUGCCUGCUCUCCACCAUCCUCGGCGCCAUAUCCGCAAAAGGUUGGUAUUCCUCCCCUCGCGCCACUCUGGGAAAAAUAUUUGCCAAGCUAGCUCAGGUAUCCUCUCGCGCGGGUGGCGUACCAGGCCACGGGAUCCAGCUUGGUGUAUCCUCUCAUCAGCAGGACGUGAGUUUCGGGUAGCUAGCACUACGCUUCCUUAGCUUGAACAAACUGCAAAACAAUCAUGCCCUAACUAUCUCUAUUUAGAAUAUUGCAAUAUCAUCAAUCGAUCCAUUGGACAGCAGUUUAGAUAAUUAGUAGUAACUUGUCUGUUUUUUCAGUGAGACCUGAAUGCUACGGGAAUAUCAUCAGUUCUGUAAUUGUGAUGAAAGAUCAGCGGUUCUUUAAUUUAGACACCACAAUAUAAUAAAUUAUGUAGGAUAGUUUCAAGAUUGAUCUUUAGGUACAGAUCAUGUAAUUGCAGUUGCCUAUAUACAGUUUUUAGAGCCUUUGUUGUCCUUUUUGUUGGAUACUAGCAAUAAUUAAUUAUUAGCCGUGAAUUGUUCUUCCAGUGCAAAUAGAGUGAUAAUUUGCAAGUGGCAUGAUUAGAAGUAGAUUAUUUGUAUACAUACAUGCAUGGUCUCCACACCUUGAAACCAAUUUUAUUUUCCAAACAUGAAAACCAGUCUGCCUUCAUGUCACCCGUUUUCCCCCUCUGGUUUCUAGUCGAGGGCGUCCUGCGGUGAGCAGUUCAGGAAAUUGAGAUACGGCGGCGAGCAGGUGCACGUCCGGCAGCGAGCGGGUGCAUGUCCGAUAACGAGCGGGCGAGCGGAGGUCAGGCGUGCGGCGGGUGUGCUCUGCACCAACCGUGUCCUCGUAAACGUCGUGAUUGGCCGGCCAACGGUGCUGCUGGUGGCAUCGGCUUCCUUGUCGGGCAGCGCACCAGGUGGUGGCUGCAGGCGGCGCAGCGUUGUGGUCGGCCAGCGCAACAGAUUAUUUUUGCUGGCGGAGCUGCGGGUGGGCUGGCGGCCUCAGCUCUGCUGUGGUUCGUUUCACGCCAGGGAGUGGUGAUCUCUGUUUCGCUGGAUCUCAGGAACAAAUCGGAAAGAUCUCUCUCCAGUUCAGACCUACAGCUGCGCUGAGUCCUGCUACCGAUCUUGUUUGGUCUUCCCGUACAGAUGUACCUAGACUCCUCAGAAACCUUGGUUCCGUUCUUGUGUCUAGUGUUGAUUCAUGUUGCUGCAACCUUAGCAUAUUCACCUGUUUGUUUACACAAAUCAAAGCUCUGUCAUCAUAUUUCAGCCGCCAAGCCAAGGAACAAUGUAUUUGGGAGGUACAUAUUUGUCAUGUCCACUCCAUUUAUAAGCAUUUGGCUAAUUUGUUGCAGGUUGAUAUUAUAACGAUAUCUUUGAUGGCAAUACUGUUGCGUAAUAAGCGUUGGCUUUAUCUCUUCAUACAUGCCAACUAAGUAAUGACUAGCUAUUUGGCUUCACAUGAAAGUUUUAAAAUGUUAUGAAAAAGUUACUCACAUACAGCAAAAGAAAAUGAUAUGCUUACAAAGCACAUCAAUGCCCCUAAUGUUAUUUCAGCUGUAUCUGGUCUUUGGAAAUGGGUAUAUGUACAAAUAAGAAGUAUGUGUUUGGGUAAAUCCUUCUGCUAAUUUUUGCAGUUUGUUUUUUUCCCUUGGUGGUAUUUUGUAGAUUAAGCUCAACACAUGGCCGGAGUUGAUAUAUGGUCGCACAUGUGGUUUACUAGCUGCUUGUGAUACCUUCUGUUAGUAAAUCUUUUACCUCUUUCUGUUUGGCAUGCUUCUCAGUUUUUAUGCUUUUCCUGUCAUUAUACAUAACUUCUGUUAUGCAUAAAUACCUCUCAACUUUUCAGAUGCUUAGUUAUGCUAUUGUCAUUUGCAUGAAAAUUGAUGAUAGUGUGAAUGGCAAAUUCAUGGAAGUUUGUGUGAUAUGUUAGUUGCUUGCUUCGAGAUUUGACCAUGUUCCUAGCCUAGUAGAUUUUGCCUUGCAGACAGAUAUGGACCAAGUAUGCCAAAUGUAUUUUAAAUAUGGCAAAAUCGUGUGGAGCUUAUUUCAGUUUGCUGGCCUACAAUAGGUGUCAUUCUAGAAUUUUUAAGGGGUAAUUUCUUUGACUCCAAUCUGAAACAUGACAUAAUCCUAAAUGGUUGCAUAAUACAUUCUUCUUGCACCUGAUGCUACAUGGGUCAUAUAUUUCUGCUAUGUUAUUAGCCCCUAGUCAAUUUCUAGUCCAAUUCAUGAGUGCAAGCUUGGUGGUGAUACCUUUUGUUAUUCAGAAAUAUACGUUUAUCAGAUUGGCAGUUUGCUUCUCGUUUUGUAUGCUAUCCCUGUGACAUAAAUUUGUUAUUUGGAAGUGAUUAUCACCUUUUCAGCUUUAGUUGUAAUAUUUUCGUGUGCUUGAAAAUAGAUUAGUGUGAUCUGUUAGUUUCUUUGCGUCCACCUUUGAUCGUGUUAUUACUUAUUAGCCUAUCAGAUUUUUCAUUUACGGACCGAGACAGCUUCAGUAUCACAAAUGUAUUUUCGAUCUGGAAAAAUUACCAUGGAGGAUAUUCCAGUAGCUGGCCUUUGAGCAUAGAUGACAUUGUUGGUUUAUUAAUCUAUUAUUUUCCAUCCUCCAUUCUCAAAUAUGAUGGAAUUCUAAAUGGUUGCAGGAUAUUGGCACAGCUGAUUCUUGCAGCUAGCUCUCUUCCUUAUAAUUUAAUUGAAUGCUGAAUUUUGCAGCUAGCUCUCUUCCUGCAAAAGAAAAAUAAGUAUCUAGCUCUUGUAUAAAUGGGUAUUUAGAUCUUUUGGCAAUACUAGCUUAUGGUUGGCUUCUUAGGUGUUCCAGUUUAAAUUAAGUAUGGAAUCUUUGCUUCUGGUAACUACAAUUAUAAAUGUAUUCACAGAUCAAUUCUAUGGCUGCAAAUCAUGUCCAGCUUCUUGAUUCUUAUGGUAAUUCUCUGCCCAUUUUUCAGGACCGACGGCGAUGUUCAAAAUAUAAAGUGGGAUUGUGGGUGUGUCCUGCUCCUGGGUACACAAUGAAAUGUAAAGCUGCACCGCAUGUUCUGGUCUUCAGCAUCGGGCUGCCUAGUACGGUGGAAAUACAACAUCAAAGUGUCAUCUAGUGAAGCUGAUGUAACUAAAUAAUUUGCACCGACUCAUGUAAUUUAUUACAUGUUAACAUAGUCAUUCCUUUGUUUUUGAUAUGAGCACAAUGCCUGAAAUAUGUAGACAGAUGUGUGCAUGGGCACGUUGGAGUUCUUACUCAAGCUGUACGUGUAAAACUUGCAUUGUGUAAUACUAUUCUUACGGGCAUUAAACUUUUAUGUCA